rnacentral:rRNA from 1 species
CCUACGGGAGGCAGCAGUGGGGAAUUUUGGACAAUGGGCGAAAGCCUGAUCCAGCCAUGCCGCGUGCAGGAUGAAGGCCUUCGGGUUGUAAACUGCUUUUGUACGGAACGAAAAGACUCUGGUUAAUACCUGGGGUCCAUGACGGUACCGUAAGAAUAAGCACCGGCUAACUACUCCAGACCCCCGCC